CAUAGGUUAAUGAGGCGAACCGGGGGAACUGAAACAUCUAAGUACCCCGAGGAAAAGAAAUCAACCGAGAUUCCCCCAGUAGCGGCGAGCGAACGGGGAGGAGCCCAGAGCCUGAAUCAGUGUGUGUGUUAGUGGAAGCGUCUGGAAAGGCGCGCGAUACAGGGUGACAGCCCCGUACACAAAAAUGCACAUAUUGUGAGCUCGAUGAGUAGGGCGGGACACGUGGUAUCCUGUCUGAAUAUGGGGGGACCAUCCUCCAAGGCUAAAUACUCCUGACUGACCGAUAGUGAACCAGUACCGUGAGGGAAAGGCGAAAAGAACCCCGGCGAGGGGAGUGAAAAAGAACCUGAAACCGUGUACGUACAAGCAGUGGGAGCCUCUUAAUGGGGUGACUGCGUACCUUUUGUAUAAUGGGUCAGCGACUUAUAUUCUGUAGCAAGGUUAACCGAAUAGGGGAGCCGAAGGGAAACCGAGUCUUAACUGGGCGUUAAGUUGCAGGGUAUAGACCCGAAACCCGGUGAUCUAGCCAUGGGCAGGUUGAAGGUUGGGUAACACUAACUGGAGGACCGAACCGACUAAUGUUGAAAAAUUAGCGGAUGACUUGUGGCUGGGGGUGAAAGGCCAAUCAAACCGGGAGAUAGCUGGUUCUCCCCGAAAGCUAUUUAGGUAGCGCCUCGUGAAUUCAUCUCCGGGGGUAGAGCACUGUUUCGGCAAGGGGGUCAUCCCGACUUACCAACCCGAUGCAAACUGCGAAUACCGGAGAAUGUUAUCACGGGAGACACACGGCGGGUGCUAACGUCCGUCGUGAAGAGGGAAACAACCCAGACCGCCAGCUAAGGUCCCAAAGUCAUGGUUAAGUGGGAAACGAUGUGGGAAGGCCCAGACAGCCAGGAUGUUGGCUUAGAAGCAGCCAUCAUUUAAAGAAAGCGUAAUAGCUCACUGGUCGAGUCGGCCUGCGCGGAAGAUGUAACGGGGCUAAACCAUGC
rnacentral:rRNA from 1 species